rnacentral:rRNA from 1 species
GACGAACGCUGGCGGCGUGCUUAACACAUGCAAGUCGAACGAAGUGGAGAACGGGUGAGUAACGCGUAAUCAACCUGCUCUUUCGAGGGGGACAACAGUUGGACACGGCUGCUAAUACCGCAUACUGAAGAGGGGGAUUGCGACUGAUUAGCUAGUUGGAGGGGUAAAGGCCCACCAAGGCGAUGAUCAGUAGCCGGUCUGAGAGGAUGAACGGCCACAUUGGGACUGAGACACGGUCCAGACUCCUACGGGAGGCAGCAGUGGGGAAUAUUGGACAAUGGGCGAAAGCCUGAUCCAGCCAUGCCGCGUGUGUGAAGAAGGUCUUCGGAUUGUAAAGCACUUUAAGUUGGGAGGCGUUACCAACAGAAUAAGCACCGGCUAACUUCGUGCCAGCAGCCGCGGUAAUAC